rnacentral:lncRNA from 1 species
GGACGAGUAGGCAAUGGCGGAAGAGGUGCCAUUCUUUGAAACAAAGGAAGAUGAAGAAGACGACAAAAAGAGGCGAAGAAGAGUUUUCGUCAGAGAAAACGAAAAGAGAUAAAAGAGAUAGAAGAGACAAAAAGAAUGAGAAGCUUGGGGAAGAAGAAAAGGCCGUCGUAUCGAAUUGUCGCAUCGAAGCGAGUUCCGAGGUCGGCUAUAAUGAUGAAUAGAUGGCGGUAAUUAAAAUGACUUAGCUAAUGCCGCAGAUGAGACAAAAUGAGGAUGGAGAUCGGGCCGUAAGAAAGAAAAUAAACGGCUAA